GCCACCUUUCCCACGACCCCCAUUCUGCUCACGGGAGAAGCGAUUUAAAAAACAUAGCAAUGUGUGCGCGCGUGUUCCAGACCAUCCCUGAUGGUUAGAGUCCCGGAAAUUUCGCGGAUUCCUCUGACCUCAGGAUAGAAUUCAAAGUUAUUAUAGGUGUGCUCGACCCAUGUUUACUUUCCCAUUGGUUGAUUUCUUAGCGAGAACAUUUUUUAUCCUUGUUAUUUGGCACUACCUGAUUCGCUUUACUUCUCUCCUAGCUGGACAUCGUUGGCUCACGGUUGUAGAGGGGCAUGUCCAGAUAACUGCGGUCCAAUCAUGAACACAGUGCGACAGUGCGGAGGUUUGCAUUGUAGCUUGCGACUAAAUGAAUGCGCGAAAAUUGUGUGGCUUUACUGAUGGUGUACCCGACUCUGCCAGCCUUCGAUUAUAAAAGCCAAGCCUAAAGCAAGGAGUAGCCGUGUGAACAAGCGACUAGGCCUAGUCACAUCAACUGAAUUCAACAGUUCUGCUCAGAAAAAAACCAGGUAACAAAUAUGUGAAAAAAUGGAGGAAUAUUAAGAACAACUUUAUGAAAAGCAUGCGGAGGAAGACGAAAUCCGGCCAAGCUGCAGACUCUGGACGACUCUACAUUUAUGCACGGCAGUUGUCUUUUCUGCGUUCUACUACUGGCUACCCUACAGAGACGCAGUCCAGUAUAGGUGGUGAAGAAGAUGAGCAAGAUGAUCCAGACCAACCAGAGGAACGGGACACACCAACAGAUGCCGGGUCAACAAUAACUCUGCGUCGACCACACUACAGAACCGAUGGCAAGGGUCGAAAGCAGGCUCUUGAGUCAGCAAUAAUAAAUUACAUGAAAGCUCCAAUAGAAUGCCCAAGAUCUAUCCAACACGAACAAAAUGCAGAUAGAGCAUUUUUAGAAAGCCUCCUCCCAUCGUUACACGAGUUUACAGAGGAUCAGAAGCUGGAAUUUCUAUGUGAUCUGGUGAUCAAUUUCACGUGUAGAUGUAAAAAUAAAGAUAAGUUCUUAUGUCACAAACGUU